rnacentral:lncRNA from 1 species
GCUUGGCGAACUCCUUGAGGACAUGGGCUUUGUUUUCUGUUCCAUUUUACCCUCCACUGUGCCUUCGCAGGGAUUCCCCAGGAUCAACCAUCUGAGCAGAUACCUUGGAAUGUCCCCAGAUUUCAGAGCCUCGGACCAGCAGCAACACACUCUGAAGUAGGUCUCAGAAGACAAAAAGCUGAAAUCAACUCAUGCUUCCUGCUACACAGAAUCCACUGAGAGGAAAAGGAAACUUCACCGAAACUUCAGAAAGCUACAGAAAUGACAUCCAUUUUCACAAUCCCAGAAGGAAAGAUGCAUCUGAAGGGAAUAAAAACAGAGCAAUGGAAGAGUAUUUGUUAAAAUAAAUGGCUUUGACAGGG